rnacentral:rRNA from 1 species
UACGUAGGGUGCAAGCGUUGUCCGGAAUUAUUGGGCGUAAAGAGCUCGUAGGCGGUUUGUCGCGUCUGCUGUGAAAACCCGAGGCUCAACCUCGGGCCUGCAGUGGGUACGGGCAGACUAGAGUGCGGUAGGGGAGAUUGGAAUUCCUGGUGUAGCGGUGGAAUGCGCAGAUAUCAGGAGGAACACCAAUGGCGAAGGCAGAUCUCUGGGCCGUAACUGACGCUGAGGCAUGAAAGCGUGGGGAGCAAACAGG